GAGCAAGGGCGUCGAUACCAGAUGGCGCAAAUUGCAUUGAAGGUUGGCGAUAUAGGAGUGAACACAUAUAAGCCAUUUUCCGUGCCUAUCAAAUCUUCCCUUUUUUGGCUUUGAUUAUGGCCUCGUACAAGUCGCUAUCUC